rnacentral:RNase_P_RNA from 2 species
CUAGUUGGUUGAAUGAUAGCUCUAAAUUUUAGAGAGGAAAGUCUGGGCUCCAUAGGAAAAAGUACCAGGUAACGCCUGGCAGGAGUGAUCCUAGGGAUAGUGCCACAGAGAAUAGACCGCCUAAUCAAGGCAAGGGNGAAACGGUGAGGUAAGAGCUCACCGCCUUUUUAGUAAUAAAAAGGGCAUGGAAAACCCUACUUGGAGCAAGACCAAAUAGGGGUAGCGCGAUCAUUGAUCAAAUUUCCUAAUCAAGCUAUCCGGGUUGGUUGCUAGAGCUAAUCAGAAAUGAUUAGCCAAGAUAAAUUAUCAUUUUAAAUGACAGAACCCAGCUUACAGGCCGACUAGCAAA